AAUACAGAGAAAAAUUGGUUGGGGUGAGAGAAGGAAGACAACAGGUCUUGUGUGGAUUCUUAGUUUGUCGUCGUUGUAACAGACUGACUCAGUGGUUUGUUGGGACCAUUAUUGAAUCAGAGCUGGGACACUGACCCGUCCAUUGCAGGAGCAGCCCUCACCCGUACGUCACAGCCCUGGAGAACAGAGCGGACUGCUGGCCGGCUCUGCUGUUCGAGAUCGAUGACUUUAUCCAGAAAGCUGUUGACAGAGAUAAAGCGGCUUAUAUCACCAUGCUGGCCCCCUUCCUUCGGUACCUAUACUGCCAACCUCACAGGCAACCCGAGCACGCGCUGCUUCGACAGAGUCUUCUUAGGGCGAUGCUGCCCAUUCAGGGAGGAUCCAGGUCCGCCCCCCAGAACAAGGAGCAGGAAACGCUGUCCCCAGUGUCUGACAGGCUGCUGCUCUGUCUUUGUCAGCUGGUUCCACACAUGCAGGUGGACAGCGUGGAGGCAGUCCUGGAGCUGUGUGCAUUUGUGGGUGCUCUGCUCCAACAUCUAACUGGGACCUCUGGAGACCAGUGGAAACCAGAGAAAGCGGCGCUGGCUCUGCAGCUGCUGUGUGUGUGUCGGCGAUGCCUCGAGUUAAACGGAGACUGCAGACCGAUAAUCGGCUUAAUACAGCAGCUGGUUCCAGCCUGUCAGGUGAUCACUGUAAACAAUCAGACACCAGCAAAAAUCAAGAAGCCACACUGCUGUGCUAGUUAACGUGAGCGAGUCUAAGUAUGGAAGUAAACAAAAGUGAUGGUUUUUGUUUUACGUGUGCAAAUAUCUCUGCUCCAAACCUGAGCCUGGACUCACAGCAGCUGGUUAUUUGGCAUUAAUGCUGAUCAGCUUCUUCACUCACUGCAGCGGGCUGACAUGGACAUGCACACAUGUGAAUAUCUGACACUCAAAGACACUUUGUAGAAAUGUAGCAUUUUUGGUUCAGUGUUUCAUAAAAGCCUUGUUACUACCAGGGAGAGCACACCUGAGUUUAA